AGAGUUUGAUCCUGGCUCAGAAUCAACGCUGGCGGCGUGCCUAACACAUGCAAGUCGAGCGCGAAAGAGGGGCAACCCUUGACUAGCGCGGCGAACGGGUGAGUAACGCGUGGGUCAUCUACCUUCGAGUGGGGAACAACAGCGGGAAACUGCUGCUAAUACCGCAUAACAUCCUCGGGCUUGCGAGCCUGGGGAUCAAA
rnacentral:rRNA from 1 species